ACGCGACCAAGAAAAAUGAUGGGUAUCGUCUAUUCACUAUAUUCCGUUUGGCAAUCGUUGAGCUCUUCUUCUUCUCGGUUAGGAGCAAUAAUUAGCUGCAUUGAUAGGUUCCCUUCCCAUUCAUAGCUCUCAUCAUAAUGGUGAAAACUCCCACAAGGUUCUUUAAUGCUUUUAAUGCAGGGGUAAUUGUUGAACUUUAUGCUUUUCGUUUCAUUAAAAAAAGUGUGCUUUUCCUGUUGAUUUUGGAGAUUUAGAUUUUGUUUUCUUGAAGUGAAUUGAUUGAACUUAUGUCUUCUAUUGGUUGAUUUAGGCAACUUUAAAUCUACAUUGUACAGUCUCUGUCUUCUGUCUCUAUACUGACCUGCGAACUUGUUGGAUGGUUCAAUUUGAAUCACUGUUUAGGGACUUUAAAAGAAAACGAAAUAAAGUUUGAGAUAUCUUUGGUGCAUGCUUGAAGAAAAUGUAGGACUUCAUCAAGUUUCAUUUAGUAGGUGCUAAAUCACAGAAAAUAAGGUAUUAACUGUUUGAGACAAUAUUACCUUCAAAUUUUAGAUAAAGCUUCUUCACUAUAAAUUAUGCAUUUCUCCACUUCCUUGUCGUUUAACUUCAAACUCAGUAUUCAAUAUUAAGUUGACAAGAAAUAUUGAUGAAUUAGUUCAAAAUCAGUGAUCUUAUGACAGUUUACCUGGUUCUCACCUCAGAUAUUUGAGCCAUUACACUAGAUGCUUUGUAGGAAUUUAUGUUAGUAUGAAAUAAAGUAUAGCACCCUAUAGAACAACAAAUAUUUGUACCUCAGAGAUGGACAUCUAGUGGCAUGUCUCUUCAUCCUGGAUUGCUCAAUGAGGAGUAUUGUAAAUCUGACUCCUCUCAGUUCAUCUCACCCAACAACUAGAAGUCUAAGACAACAAAAGUUCUUUAUUUAUGAGAGAGUUUCCAACUUGGGGACUUGAUUAUGUAACUCUAAUGCGCUUGAACAUUUAUGGAAUAGGACCUCUCAGCCAAUGGUUGUGUUCACCACUAUUUGUCUUUUACUAGCACAGCAAGCACAGGGAUGAGAAAUCCAUCCUUGACCUCUUCCCUGAACUUGUGCAGUGCAACUUUGCUUCUGGAUGUGGAAUUGUGGAUUCUUGAACCAACCAUCAGAUUAUUAAAGGAUCAAAUGGUGAUGGGGAGGGAGUAGUGUGACCACUGGCUCUCUGUAGCAGCCCAUUUAGCAGGCCCCAGAUGGGGUCCAUUGGCAUCAUGGUGUUGUGCUUGGCUUGAGACUAUAGGACUCAUUGCUGGUAUUGGUACUCAGGCAUAUGCAGGUUCACAAACACUGCAGAGUAUAAUCUUACUAUCCACAGGCACAAAUAAAGAUGGUGGAUAUUUUGCUCCUAAAUGGCUCUUCUUGUGCAUGUACAUGUAUGGGCAGUUCUCAACACAUUCGCCUUAGAAGUUAUUGCUUUCAUUGAUGUAAUCUCUAUAUGGUGGCAGCCUGAUCCUACGAGGAAAUGAAGCAAUAUACAUAUCUACCUAACAAGUCGAAAUGCAGACAUGGUCAUUAGAGAUGAUCCCAGAACAAGGAAUGCAUCACAUCCUUUUGCAGCCUCCAUUGCCUUGUCUGCUCUAUCCUUUGGAACAUUAUCACCACAGAAAACAACCUUCAACGGUUGAAAAAAUCAGUUAAAUGUUUCAAAUAUUUGUCACAUGUAUAAUUCACAAGUAAAAGAAGAGAGAUCAUAAAAACACACAUGGAACAUGAAUGGAAGCAUAUUGUUUGUCUGCAAGUACAAAGCUAAACUUAUAUCAACGAAUAAAAUAUUAGAACCUUUAUUACAAACUUGUUCAUAUGAGUGACUAAUUCCAUCACUUGUUAAUCAAAUAAUUUAAAAUGAAUCCAUGUAAGCUACCAUAAGCAGCCCACAAUAACAUUUCUCCAUUUACAGCCAUAAGGUUUAGAUGAUAAUAAUAACAAUAACAAUAACCCCUAUAUAUAUAUAUAUAUUCACAAACU